rnacentral:rRNA from 1 species
GGUUAAGCGACUAAGCGUACACGGUGGAUGCCCUGGCAGUCAGAGGCGAUGAAGGACGUGCUAAUCUGCGAUAAGCGUCGGUAAGGUGAUAUGAACCGUUAUAACCGGCGAUUUCCGAAUGGGGAAACCCAGUGUGUUUCGACACACUAUCAUUAACUGAAUCCAUAGGUUAAUGAGGGCGAACCGGGGGAACUGAAACAUCUAAGUACCCCGAGGAAAAGAAAUCAACCGAGAUUCCCCCAGUAGCGGCGAGCGAACGGGGAGGAGCCCAGAGCCUGAAUCAGUGUGUGUGUUAGUGGAAGCGUCUGGAAAGGCGCGCGAUACAGGGUGACAGCCCCGUACACAAAAAUGCACAUAUUGUGAGCUCGAUGAGUAGGGCGGGACACGUGGUAUCCUGUCUGAAUAUGGGGGGCCCAUCCUCCAAGGCUAAAUACUCCUGACUGACCGAUAGUGAACCAGUACCGUGAGGGAAAGGCGAAAAGAACCCCGGCGAGGGGAGUGAAAAAGAACCUGAAACCGUGUACGUACAAGCAGUGGGAGCACGCUUAGGCGUGUGACUGCGUACCUUUGUAUAAUGGGUCAGCGACUUAUAUUCUGUAGCAAGGUUAACCGAAUAGGGGAGCCGAAGGGAAACCGAGUCUUAACUGGGCGUUAAGUUGCAGGGUAUAGACCCGAAACCCGGUGAUCUAGCCAUGGGCAGGUUGAAGGUUGGGUAACACUAACUGGAGGACCGAACCGACUAAUGUUGAAAAAUUAGCGGAUGACUUGUGGCUGGGGGUGAAAGGCCAAUCAAACCGGGAGAUAGCUGGUUCUCCCCGAAAGCUAUUUAGGUAGCGCCUCGUGAAUUCAUCUCCGGGGGUAGAGCACUGUUUCGGCAAGGGGUCAUCCCGACUUACCAACCCGAUGCAAACUGCGAAUACCGGAGAAUGUUAUCACGGGAGACACACGGCGGGUGCUAACGUCCGUCGUGAAGAGGGAAACAACCCAGACCGCCAGCUAAGGUCCCAAAGUCAUGGUUAAGUGGGAAACGAUGUGGGAAGGCCCAGACAGCCAGGAUGUUGGCUUAGAAGCAGCCAUCAUUUAAAGAAAGCGUAAUAGCUCACUGGUCGAGUCGGCCUGCGCGGAAGAUGUAACGGGGCUAAACCAUGCACCGAAGCUGCGGCAGCGACGCUUAUGCGUUGUUGGGUAGGGGAGCGUUCUGUAAGCCUGCGAAGGUGUGCUGUGAGGCAUGCUGGAGGUAUCAGAAGUGCGAAUGCUGACAUAAGUAACGAUAAAGCGGGUGAAAAGCCCGCUCGCCGGAAGACCAAGGGUUCCUGUCCAACGUUAAUCGGGGCAGGGUGAGUCGACCCCUAAGGCGAGGCCGAAAGGCGUAGUCGAUGGGAAACAGGUUAAUAUUCCUGUACUUGGUGUUACUGCGAAGGGGGGGACGGAGAAGGCUAUGUUGGCCGGGCGACGGUUGUCCCGGUUUAAGCGUGUAGGCUGGUUUUCCAGGCAAAUCCGGAAAAUCAAGGCUGAGGCGUGAUGACGAGGCACUACGGUGCUGAAGCAACAAAUGCCCUGCUUCCAGGAAAAGCCUCUAAGCAUCAGGUAACAUCAAAUCGUACCCCAAACCGACACAGGUGGUCAGGUAGAGAAUACCAAGGCGCUUGAGAGAACUCGGGUGAAGGAACUAGGCAAAAUGGUGCCGUAACUUCGGGAGAAGGCACGCUGAUAUGUAGGUGAAGUCCCUUGCGGAUGGAGCUGAAAUCAGUCGAAGAUACCAGCUGGCUGCAACUGUUUAUUAAAAACACAGCACUGUGCAAACACGAAAGUGGACGUAUACGGUGUGACGCCUGCCCGGUGCCGGAAGGUUAAUUGAUGGGGUCAGCGCAAGCGAAGCUCUUGAUCGAAGCCCCGGUAAACGGCGGCCGUAACUAUAACGGUCCUAAGGUAGCGAAAUUCCUUGUCGGGUAAGUUCCGACCUGCACGAAUGGCGUAAUGAUGGCCAGGCUGUCUCCACCCGAGACUCAGUGAAAUUGAACUCGCUGUGAAGAUGCAGUGUACCCGCGGCAAGACGGAAAGACCCCGUGAACCUUUACUAUAGCUUGACACUGAACAUUGAGCCUUGAUGUGUAGGAUAGGUGGGAGGCUUUGAAGUGUGGACGCCAGUCUGCAUGGAGCCGGCCUUGAAAUACCACCCUUUAAUGUUUGAUGUUCUAACGUGGACCCGUGAUCCGGGUUGCGGACAGUGUCUGGUGGGUAGUUUGACUGGGGCGGUCUCCUCCUAAAGAGUAACGGAGGAGCACGAAGGUUGGCUAAUCCUGGUCGGACAUCAGGAGGUUAGUGCAAUGGCAUAAGCCAGCUUGACUGCGAGCGUGACGGCGCGAGCAGGUGCGAAAGCAGGUCAUAGUGAUCCGGUGGUUCUGAAUGGAAGGGCCAUCGCUCAACGGAUAAAAGGUACUCCGGGGAUAACAGGCUGAUACCGCCCAAGAGUUCAUAUCGACGGCGGUGUUUGGCACCUCGAUGUCGGCUCAUCACAUCCUGGGGCUGAAGUAGGUCCCAAGGGUAUGGCUGUUCGCCAUUUAAAGUGGUACGCGAGCUGGGUUUAGAACGUCGUGAGACAGUUCGGUCCCUAUCUGCCGUGGGCGCUGGAGAACUGAGGGGGGCUGCUCCUAGUACGAGAGGACCGGAGUGGACGCAUCACUGGUGUUCGGGUUGUCAUGCCAAUGGCACUGCCCGGUAGCUAAAUGCGGAAGAGAUAAGUGCUGAAAGCAUCUAAGCACGAAACUUGCCCCGAGAUGAGUUCUCCCUGACCCUUUAAGGGUCCUGAAGGAACGUUGAAGACGACGACGUUGAUAGGCCGGGUGUGUAAGCGCAGCGAUGCGUUGAGCUAACCGGUACUAAUGAACCGUGAGGCUUAACCUU